GCAUCGGUGGCUUAGUGGUAGAAUGCUCUCCUGCCACGCGGGCGGCCCGGGUUCGAUUCCCGGCCGAUGCA
rnacentral:tRNA from 1 species